rnacentral:rRNA from 1 species
AUUGAACGCUGGCGGCAUGCCUUACACAUGCAAGUCGAACGGUAACAGGUCUUCGGAUGCUGACGAGUGGCGAACGGGUGAGUAAUACAUCGGAACGUGCCUAGUAGUGGGGGAUAACUACUCGAAAGAGUGGCUAAUACCGCAUGAGAUCUACGGAUGAAAGCAGGGGAUCGCAAGACCUUGUGCUACUAGAGCGGCCGAUGGCAGAUUAGGUAGUUGGUGGGAUAAAAGCUUACCAAGCCGACGAUCUGUAGCUGGUCUGUGAGGACGAUCAGCCACACUGGGACUGAGACACGGCCCAGACUCCGACGGGAGGAAGCAGUGGGGAAUUUUGGACAAUGGGCGAAAGCCUGAUCCAGCAAUGCCGCGUGCAGGAUGAAGGCCUUCGGGUUGUAAACUGCUCUUGUACGGAACGAAAAGCCCCGGGUUAAUACCCUGGGGUCAUGACGGUACCGUAAGAAUAAGCGCCGGCUAACUACGUGCCAGCAGCCGCCGUAA